CUAUAAUGGUCAUAAAUCUGUCCUAUGAAUGUCCCACAUUAUUAAAUACAACUAGAUAAAAAACUAAUGGUUGACAAAUUGCUGUGGGAGAAUAGGACGCGUGAGGAUGUGCGGUUAUUGGAAAAUCUACAGGCAACAGUAAUAGUAUGAAUCAUUUAUUAUUUCCUUCGACAGCAUCUCCCACAUUUGUUGGAUUCCAUACAAGUGCAACAUGAAAAACUUUGCAGCAGACCAUGAAAAUGCCAUUUAAGCUUUAUUAUGAUAUCUGAUAGUUUACAAUACAGUGAAAAACAGACGUGACAUUUCACUAGGACAGAAUGCAAAGCAAUGCAAUCAAGUAAAAAGAAGAAGAAAAAAAAGAAAAGGAAAAAAAAAAGCAUACACUUGCUUUUUUUUUGAGAGAGAAAAAAAACAUAAAAACAGACUUAAAAAAGACUUAAUAUAGCCUUUAUGAAUACAACAUGCUUCAGACCUUAGAGAAUAACAGUCCUAAGAAAAAUAACCCUUCAAAAACUUCCAUCUGUUUUCCUUUGCAUAACAUGAUGCUCUAAAACUAGAGGGUUGAAACCAGUGUCACUAAAGCAGAAGGCAAAACGAGGGGAAAUAGAUUUUACUCCGUCUUAACAUCCAAUAAAAAAAGAAAAAUACUAAGCUGCUGAUUCAGGGAUUCGGGAAAUAAACUAUGGAAAUAUAAAUAAAGCACAACUUUGCUUUUUUUCCUUUUCUUUUGGUUCGAGUUUUUACACAUUCACGGAUGUGUACUGACAGCAGUGACACUGGUCUCACUCAUCUUCAGAGAGAGUUGGUGGGUUUUUGUGGAGAAUCAGGUCUGAGUCGAUUGCGAAUGUUUCCGCAGGUGAAUCCAGCUCACCACUGUGCAGAAACUAAACCAGGACCAGCAGACCUACUAUUAUACUAUUACUGAUGAAAAAAACUGAAUAAAUAGCCUUGUUCAUCAUAGACAACAAAAGGAAGUAAAGAAGCGAGGACAAGGUAGAGCUAGGAGAAUACAAAUUAAUAAAACUUAAUUGUGGAAGAAAAGAGGAGGGGAAAAAAAAGAAAAACAAAACUCGCGUUCACACUUAUUCUGUCUCGCACACAAAAAAUCCACAUGCGUCCAGAAAGCUAGAGGUACAGUGAACAAAAGUGCUUCAAGUCAGGGAAGUAGAGGAACUAACCCAGUACAAAUACGUGUGUGUGUGUGUGUGUGUGUGUAUAUGUGUGUGUGUGUGUGUGUGUGUGUGUGUAUAUAUAAUAUAUAUAAAACCUUAAAUAUGUAACUUUAUGUACAAAAUCUGACACAGGGACAAUAUCUUGUCUGUAACUCUGUUUUCAAGUAGGAGCUCUACGACUAUUCCCGUUUGCAUUGACUUCGGCUGAUUAAAACAAAAGGUCACGUGACCUGACUGACCUUGUUGGCGAUAAAUGUGAUAAACGGAGGGUUUUUUCACUGGUUCAACUUUUUAAAAUAUCUUGAUAAUCUUUCUAUUUUCUUUACUCCAUAGAAAUCUAGGUUUAACAUCAAACGCCCUGCUUGCUACUGGAAGAAAGCCUGCCCCUUCCCUUUAUAACGAAUAUAACCUGCCUGUCGGCCCACUCGCCAUCCCCACCUCGUAAUACAAGUGUUACCUACACCCACUACAACUACAAAUAAAAUAAAACAAAACAAAACAAAAAAACGAUCGGAUCACGUUACGCUUCGGAAUAUAGCUUUGAGUGGAUACAAAUAUCUGUGAGGUUCUCGGACUUGUGCAGAGCCACCGAAGGAAAUCCGUCACUGUGGAGUCAUGCGCUGCACAACAGGAAAGGGAGAAAUUACUUUUUUGUCCUUUUGGAGAGGCACACGGUUCAUGCUGCUUAGAGGCAAAGAGGUGGAGGAGGAUGAAGUGCGCAUACAUGCGUACAUACACACACACAGCUAAAGUGCAGGAGGUAUAAAGUGAAAGCUCCGGAUUGCAUUUGUUUAAUAGCAGCAGGUUUUUUUUUUUCUUCGCAAUACGCCGUUUUUUUCUGUACGCAGCACUUUUUAAAAAACAUUAUUUACAUAAUUAUUUCUGCUUCUUAUCCACGUUCUGGAUCAAAUUGGCCAAAUUCCUAGUGUUUUUUCUUUCCCAACUUGUAAAACAGAAGUAAAAGGUAAAGCAGCAGAAUGUCUAGUCUUAGAAAAGAAAUAAAAGAGGGAGACGAUCAUGCCAGCAAUCACCUGACCCUGAAGUUCAUCCAAAGCAACAAUCAUCCACAAGAACCUGGACUGAAAGAUUUUUUUGUUUGCCUCUAAACCCAUGAACAAGGCCUCUGCAAAGUGCAAACAAAAGAACUGCAUUCAAGUAAAACACACACGCACUCUGCAACGCAUGCACGCGUGUCCGUGCGAUCACGUGACCAGAAAAAACAAAAACAAACAAAAAAAACCCACACCAUGAGUGUGAUGUAUGAUGGAGGAGAGGUGGGGUGAGGAGAGGAGAGAAGAUGAAGUGGAGCUGUGAAUCACAGACACUAGGUUCAGUUUUCCCUGCUGUCCAGUGCCUUUCAGACAGCAUUAUAUAUUUAUAAAAACAAACAAA